rnacentral:pre_miRNA from 14 species
UUUGAGGGGAAUGUUGUCUGGCUCGAGGACGCUUUCUUCUCGAUCUAAUGCAAAUUUGUGGUCAUGGAUUGUAAAGUAUUCUCGGACCAGGCUUCAUUCCCCCCAAU